UCCUACGGGGCGCAGCAGUGGGGAAUAUUGCACAAUGGGGGAAACCCUGAUGCAGCGACGCCGCGUGGGUGAAGAAGUAUUUCGGUAUGUAAAGCCCUAUCAGCAGGGAAGAAAAAAAUGACGGUACCUGACUAAGAAGCACCGGCUAAAUACGUGCCAGCAGCCGCGGUAAUACGUAUGGUGCAAGCGUUAUCCGGAUUUACUGGGCGUAAAGGGAGCGCAGGCGGCGCGCCAAGUCUGAUGUGAAACCCCGGGGCUCAACUCCGGGCAUGCAUUGGAAACUGGCGGGCUGGAGUGCCGGAGAG
rnacentral:rRNA from 1 species